GACGAACCGUGCGAACGUUGUUCGGAAUCACUGGGCUUAAAGGGCGCGUAGGCGGGUGUGCAAGUCUGUGGUGAAAGCCUCCAGCUUAACUGGAGAAGUGCCAUGGAUACUGCACAUCUUGAGGAGGGUAGGGGCAUCUGGAACGGUCGGUGGAGCGGUGAAAUGCGUUGAUAUCGACCGGAACUCCGGUGGCGAAGGCGAGGUGCUGGACCCUUUCUGACGCUGAGGCGCGAAAGCCAGGGGAGCAAACGGGG
rnacentral:rRNA from 1 species